rnacentral:tRNA from 1 species
GCCCUGAUAGUGUAGUUCGGCCUAUCAUGUGGCCCUGUCGAGGCCACGACCCGGGUUCGAAUCCCGGUCAGGGCG